rnacentral:tRNA from 2 species
GCCCGGGUGGUCUAGUGGUAUGAUUCUCGCUUAGGGAUGGCUUCUGCCUUCAAACCCAAGCAUAUCUGCGAGAGGUCCCGCGUUCGAUCCGCGGCUCGGGCC